rnacentral:rRNA from 1 species
GACGAACGCUGGCGGCGUGCCUAAUACAUGCAAGUCGAGCGGACGAAUCGAAAGCUUGCUUUUGAUUCGUUAGCGGCGGACGGGUGAGUAACACGUGGGCAACCUGCCCUGUAGACGGGGAUAACACCGAGAAAUCGGUGCUAAUACCGGAUAACACGAAAUGUCGCAUGACGUUUCGUUGAAAGACGGCGCAAGCUGCCGCUACAGGAUGGGCCCGCGGCGCAUUAGCUAGUUGGUGAGGUAACGGCUCACCAAGGCGACGAUACGUAGCCGACCUGAGAGGGUGAUCGGCCACACUGGGACUGAGACACGGCCCAGACUCCUACGGGAGGCAGCAGUAGGGAAUCUUCCGCAAUGGACGAAAGUCUGACGGAGCAACGCCGCGUGAGCGAAGAAGGCCUUCGGGUCGUAAAGCUCUGUUGUUAGGGAAGAACAAGUAACGCAGUAACUGGCGUUACCGUGACGGUACCUAACGAGAAAGCCACGGCUAACUACGU